rnacentral:rRNA from 1 species
AUUGAACGCUGGCGGCAGGCUUAACACAUGCAAGUCGAACGCGUGGCGGACGGGUGAGUAAUGCUUGGGAAUCUAGCUUAUGGAGGGGGAUAACUACGGGAAACUGUAGCUAAUACCGCGUACCAUAGGAUGAGCCCAAGUUGGAUUAGGUAGUUUGUGAUGUAAAGGCUCACCAAGCCGACGAUAUCUAGCUGGUCUGAGAGGCUGACCGGCCACACUGGGACUGAGACACGGCCCAGACUCCUACGGGAGGCAGCAGUGGGGAAGAUUGCGCAAUGGGGGCAACCUGACGCAGCCAUGCCGAGUGAAUGAAGAAGGCCUUCGGGUUGUAAAGUUCUUUCGGUAGCGAGGGGUAAACUAAAGAAGAAGCACCGGCUAACUCCGUGCCAGCAGCCGCGGUAUUG